AGUCAAGAAGCGAAAAAUUGCGUAUGGUUUCGGCCCAUAAUAAUGGUGAUAUUACUUCCCCUUGUCUG
rnacentral:tRNA from 1 species